AAUAGAAGUCGCCUCUAACCCUAAUCAGCUAUAGACAAGAAGAAGGUCGUCUCUCUGCUUCCUUCUACGGCGACUCGAUGCCGUUUGCAAUUCUUCUCACCAUCUUAAACGGUCCGAGUAAAAGCUUCGUGAUUAAUCCCAUCUGCCAAAACAUUUCUUCUGUGUUCUGAAACGAAAACAAUGAAGUGUAGCGUUGCAUUAUUUAGGCUUCGUACCAUGACUGAACCUGUUGAGAUACUCGGGAAGUAGUCGCGCCGGUUGCGACUAAACCGGAUUGGAGAUGGGUUUUGGUUGAGUAAAGAAGGGAACGGGAGAAUGAACGGAGAAAAAGCGGCGUUGAGACGGUCGAAGACGCAUGUGGAGAGGGUUGUAGAGUGGAGAAUGGGGAGAGUCACGGUGGAUCAGCUGGAGGUUAGGUUUUGCAAGCGAGCUGAAGAAGAGGAAACGAAGAAGGUGAUGAUAGUUAAGAGAAAACAGUAGAAGAUGGAAGUUUGGAUUACCAUUUUGAUGAUUUUUAGGAAGAUUUGUAGGGAAGUGAGUGAAAGUUUGCAUGAGUUUAUAAACAGCACAAAAAGGAAUACGAUAAAUAUUGAAACGUCAUGGAGUUGAGAAGGUGAUGAACAGAGCUUCAGUUUUCAUUAAGAUUUUGCUAAGUUAUUAAGAAGUUUAAAGUCGGUGUGGGGAUGUUUAACGACUGAUAACCAAAAUUUUAGAUCAUUGACUCUGAACUUGAUUCUCAACAUCUCGAGUGUGUGUAUAUCUUGAGUUUGAUUUGGUAAAGAUGUGAUUGUUAUGUCUUGA